AGUGAACGCUGGCGGUAGGCCUAACACAUGCAAGUCGAACGGCAGCACAGUAAGAGCUUGCUCUUACGGGUGGCGAGUGGCGGACGGGUGAGGAAUACAUCGGAAUCUACUUUUUCGUGGGGGAUAACGAAGGGAAAUUAACGCAAAAACCGCAUACGACCUACGGGUGAAAGAAGGGGAUCUUCGGUCCUUGCGCGAUUGAUUGAGCCGAUGUCGGAUUAGCUAGUUGGCGGGGUAAAGGCCCACCAAGGCGACGAUCCGUAGCUGGUCUGAGAGGAUGAUCAGCCACACUGGAACUGAGACACGGUCCAGACUCCUACGGGAGGCAGCAGUGGGGAAUAUUGGACAAUGGGCGCAAGCCUGAUCCAGCCAUACCGCGUGGGUGAAGAAGGCCUUCGGGUUGUAAAGCCCUUUUGUUGGGAAAGAAAAGCAGCAGGUUAAUACCCCGCUGUUCUGACGGUACCCAAAGAAUAAGCACCGGCUAACUUCGUG
rnacentral:rRNA from 1 species